AAAAAAGAAAAAGAAAGAAGGGAGGGAGGGAAGAAAGAAGGAAGGAAGGAAGGAAAGAGAGAGAGAAAGAGGAGCUGGGAUGAGCUGUGCUCCUGGAGGAAGCAAGGGAGCCCAGCUGGAGCCAUAGCCAGUACAGUGGUAGCAGUUGGACUGACCAUUGCUGCUGCAGGAUUUGCAGACUGUUAUGUUUUGCAAGCCAUGAAGCAUAUGGAGCCUCAAGUAAAACAAGUUUUUCAAAGCCUACCAAAAUCUGCCUUCAGUGGUGGCUAUUAUAGAGGUGGGUUUGAACCCAAAAUGACAAAAUGGGAAGUAGCAUUAAUACUAGGUGUAAGCCCUACUGCCAAUAAAGGGAAAAUAAGAGAUGCUUAUCAACGAAUUAUACUUUUAAAUAAUCCUGACAAAGGAGGAUCUCCUUACAUAGCAGCCAAAAUCAGUGAAGCUAAAGAUUUACUAGAAGAUCAAGCUAAAAAAUGAAGUAAAUGUAUGAUGAAUUUUAAGUUCAUAUUAGUUUAUGUAUAUGAGUACUAAGUUUUUGUAAUAAAAUGCCUCAGAGCUACAAUAGAAAGAUGAAAGAAAGAAAGAAAGAGAAAGAAAAAGAAAAAGAGAAAGAAAGGAGGGAGGGAGGGAGG